CGCGCCCCCCCUUGUCCCCUGUGCCGGGUCUCCGCCCUGGCCCGAACUGCACGUAGCGCUCGUAGUCUACCAGGUGCUCACACAGGACAUGAUUAGAUUUUCAGGCUUUGUCCACACCUGACAACACACGCAAGCAGAAGCGUGGAGGUAGAGAACAGCAACGCCAUCAUGCAGAUGAUGCUGAAGGUGGUGAUGACCAGUAGACAGGAAUGGUGAUAAUGAUGAUGAUGGGGACAUGUCCAGAGAUGCAUGACUCUGGCCCCUUCCUGGGCCACCACACCUCGGGGGUCCUCCCAAUGGUCUUGGCUCUGUUGUUGGUUACAAGGUUCUUUGCCAUGAGAACUCAACAUUCUCCUGAUUUGAGAAGUCCCUGCUCAAACCUUCCUAAGUAAUCCCCAGCCAAGCCAAUCUCCUAUUUCCAUGGUCUUAGGAUCUGGGU